CUUUUCCUGCCAACUUUCCAACACAUUAAUUAAUUGUUGUAGCCAAUUAAGUGGCGUCGCACAAAUGAGCUUCAGCGCAAAAGAGUCCUGCAGGGCCCUGUCGAAAAUCACACACACACACACACACACACACACAACACUAGAGUUUCCCAGAAGUCUCAUUUUCUGUUAAAGAACUUAGUGAACCUGUCAGCUUGGUCCAGUUUCAGGAAAAUGAUCAUCAGCAAAACAGAUUAUGACCUCUUGUAAUCCGACAUUCCUUAUUUUCACUGUGAUGACACCGGAGUGUGAUGUUACACCUGUCCACCACAACAGUCACGUAUGAGCAGAUCCAGAGCAACUUCCACGAUGUGCAAAGGCGGUUCCGAAAUAUAUAUAUCUGAACAUAUUAGAGCUUUGUGAUUGGAAUUCGAGACACGAGUCGACUGGAGGAUCGGAGAGAUUACAGAGAAGAACAUGCCGUGAUGGUGAUGAUGAUGAUGGUGAUGAAGUCCCGAGUGCAGGAUUAUAGAGAUGGAGCAGAGCAUUUUGACGUCUGCAUUGCGAGGAGACACGGUUCUGUUCGAUCCUCCGCCUGUUCGAGUAAAGGAGCAGAUCUGAAGGGCUCACAAGCAUCGAGUGUUGUGGUGAACUGGGAUGUUUGGAUACUGUCACCCCCCCCCCCCCCCCCCCUCCCUCCACACUUUCGUGCAUUCACCUAGGAUUGUUGAUGGUGGAGCUAGUCUUUUCGGAGUCCCUGCUUGCACUCUGCACACAAUGUACAUUGUCCUUAACCGUUACGGGGCAAUGAACAUACCUAAUAAUCUCUCUCUCUCUCUCUCUCUCGCGUGUGCGACACGAUACUCCUGAAAUAACAACGAUCCUGGCUCUCUGGGCCAGCCCGAUCCAUCCUGAUGCCCUACUUCACAUUGGAGUUCUCAUCACUUGGAAAUCACUCGCUACUGCUGAGGAUGGCCCCACAUGGUGCAGCCUAAAGGUACAUGAGAUUACUGAGGAUGGUACCACUUAGAAACCAUGAAGAUGGCUUUGGAGUGAAGCACACUGAACGAAGUGUGUUGGGUGAGACGUGUUGGAUAAAGCACGUUGGAUGAAGUGUUCAAUGAAACAUCGAUACAUGCUGGAUCAAUCAUGUUGGUUGAGGUGUGCUGGGUGAAGCAUGUCAGAUGAGACAAGCUGGAAAAAGUGUCUUGGAUGAGGCAUGGGGAAUGAAACCUGUUGGAUGACGCUUAUUGGAUGAAGCAUGGUGAAUGAAGUGGGUU
ensembl:lncRNA